rnacentral:piRNA from 1 species
UCCAAAUCUUGCUUUUUCUGGUGUGUUUGGA